rnacentral:rRNA from 1 species
AUGCACGCUGGCGGCGUGCUUAACACCUGCAAGUCGAACGAGAAGUGAAGACGGAAACCUUCGGGCGGAAGGCUUUAUUUCGAGUGGCGGACGGGUGAGUAACGCGUGGGUAACCUGCCUCAUACAGGGGGAUAACAGUUGGAAACGACUGUUAAUACCGCAUAAGACCACAGCACCGCAUGGUGCGGGGGUAAAAACUCCGGUGGUAUGAGAUGGACCCGCGUUCGAUUAGCCAGUUGGCGGGGUAACGGCCCACCAAAGCGACGAUCGAUAGCCGAUCUGAGAGGAUGACCGGCCACAUUGGGACUGAGACACGGCCCAAACUCCUACGGGAGGCAGCAGUGGGGAAUAUUGCACAAUGGGGGAAACCCUGAUGCAGCGACGCCGCGUGAGUGAAGAAGUAUUUCGGUAUGUAAAGCUCUAUCAGCAGGGAAGAAAAUGACGGUACCUGAGUAAGAAGCCCCGGCUAACUACGUG